CGGACACAUCACGCUGAAACACCGGUUCCCGUACGAUCACCGAUGUUAAGCAACGUCAAGCCUGGUCAGUACCUAGAUGGGUGACGGUUUGAGAAUAGCAAGUGCUGUAAG